UACGUAGGGGGCAAGCGUUGUCCGGAAUCAUUGGGCGUAAAGCGCGUGUAGGCGGUUCGGUAAGUCGGCUGUGAAAGUCCAGGGCUCAACCCUGGGAUGCCGGUCGAUACUGCCGGACUAGAGUUCGGAAGAGGCGAGUGGAAUUCCCGGUGUAGCGGUGAAAUGCGCAGAUAUCGGGAGGAACACCAAUGGCGAAAGCGGCUCUCUGGAACGGUACUGACGCUGAGACGCGAAAGCGUGGGGAGCGAACAGG
rnacentral:rRNA from 1 species